rnacentral:lncRNA from 1 species
CUUAGUAUAUUUAAAAUAUACCCCAAUGCACCUGCCUUUAAAAAAUAAGAAACAGUAGACGAGUGGCAGGAAGGCCAGCUAGGAGAACGCUGCUGAGGGGGAAGAACAGAGAAGAAAGGAAAAGGAUCUGAUGACGGGAAGCCUGCUUAAGAAAAAGGAACAUGAUAGAGACAAGCUUCCUGGAAGCCAAAGAGUUUAGAACUAUGAAUAGAGAAGACGGAAUGAUAAAAUACAUAACUAGUUGUGACAACGGAACGCCAAGUAGCUUCUUCGUAGAGGCAAACACCGGGAUAAGGAGAAAGGUUCUGGUAGCAUGACUCUGGCAAAAGAGGAUUCCAGUAUGAGGUCUCAAUGAGAACCUAGCAACAACCUACAUGGUUGUGCAAGCAGCCCUCACCCUAAGCCUCAUCAAAGAGUUGGAGAGAGGACAGGAACUCGCAAGAAUGUGGAGGAAGGAAAGACCCUGCUGGGUUCCAGAGAAGGAUUCCAUCCUUGAGAUGGGAACCAGUGGGAAAAUGGAAGGUAUCAGAGACGAGAUAAAAGGAAACACAACAUUUUCCCAACACAGCUCUGCAAGUAAUUCCCCAGAAAAACAGGACUGGAAGGAAGCUUACUACAUUACUUCUGACGUGUUAUUGGUGCGUCACAGAAGAUGUUGAAAUAAGCAUCCAGUGCCUCUCUACUUUGUGACAAGACUCACUUGCAAUGUGAAAAUUGAAUCCACACUCAAUAUCCAGCAUUGUAAGGAUUCUUUGCAAGAAUCGUGUUUUUCAAUAACUAGAUGUAUUUGUUUUUAGUGUCUUUAAAUGAACAUUUUUAUUGACGCAUAACACGCAUUCAGAUUAUAACUGUGAAGCUUGAUGCCUUUUCACAAAAUGAACAAACCCAUGUAACUGCCGUACAUCAGGAAAUGAAACAUUAUCAGCACCCCAAAACUCCCCUUAUGUUCCUCCUAACCACCUCCUUCUACUCCUCAAAGAUAACAACUCCCUGACUACCCUGUCAAUUAAGUUUGCCCUUUGGGGAACUUUAUAU